GAUUACAUUGUUUAAAUAUUUUAUAAUAAUUACUGUAUGUUUCAUCGAUAUUUUUGAGAAUAACUAUGAAUAGCAAUCUUUGUGUCGAACUACAAUUAUUACACAAUUUAACUUAAUAUUAUUUGUAAUUUGACUAAUCUACUUAAAAAAAAUAAGUAUGCUGGCGGAAGUGACAACAUCAUUCGGUCCGGUUCAAACCGCAACGGCUGGGACUAGACUGUGGCGGGCACGGCGAAGUUCAUUCUGACCGAAGUCUACCGACAGGACCUGGACAAAACAUCUAAAUACGAAAACAACUGAUCAAGAAAACACGGGAGGACAGCAGGCCAUAGUCGAACCAAGGUCGGCGUUGGAAGGACAGAGCUUCACAGGACACUAGCCACUGGGGCUCCUCGGUUUUUAUCCUUCUGUAAGGUAACGGCUCAUGGGAUGGCAGUGUAAACUUUGUACAUCUGUUGCAUCAUCAACGGGGGGACUUCUCAAACACUAUCGCCUGAAACACAGACUUUUAGGUCGUGGACAUUUUCUGCCCUGCAUUCAUUUGGACUGUCCAUGUUCUUUUAAAACUUGGGGUGGUUUACGUACACACUUGUAUAGAGCUCACAAAUGAGAGGAAACUGAAAAUCAGAAAGAUGUGAAAGCUUUCAUCUGAAAAGUUUAGAAACAAUAGAGUGUGUGUUUGAUGUCUGAACAUAUAUGGGACUUAUGCUACACACAAAAGCGGAAAGCACCAAUCCUACUCAUGUAAUGACUUAAAAGCUGAUGUUAUUGUAAAACUUCCUAUUUCUACCAGUGUUCAACAGCAUGGCAGCCAAUUUGCAUUACUGGAAUCAGUUAAUGAUGUGGAGUUGGAUACUUCUGUAGAUUUGGAUUUUGAAGGCGAUACAAGCGUGUUUCUGAAAGUAAUCGGUUCUCUCUUGCUGAAGUUAGAAAGCAUUUAUAAUGUUCCUGGUAAAUGUAUAGAUGACUUGGUGGAACAGCUUCAGUUAUAUAUAUAUUUCAAAUUUAAUGAAAGACGUUUUAACACAAAAUAACUGCACUGUUGAUGAAAUGGUUAUCAGUGAUUUAGUCGAAAAAUUGUCUGUCUGCAACCCUCUCAAUAAAGCUCUAGCUCCAGAUGGUCCGUUUUUUUCUAAAUUCAAGAGGGGAAAGUAUUUCAUAGAAAACUUUCAUGUUAUUGAGCCAGUUGAAUAUAUAUUGGCUCCAUCAGACAACUGCACCUUUCAAUAUGUACCUAUUCUACAAACCUUAAAGCUAUUAUUAAAUGACAAAGACAUUGCAAGUAGGAUACUGACAAGAC